AGCAGCCGCGGUAAUUCCAGCUCCAAUAGCGUAUAUUAAAGUUGUUGCAGUUAAAAAGCUCGUAGUUGAAUUUCGGGAUCAAUACGUCGGUCGUGCUUCGGUACGUACUGGCGUAAUUGAUUUCUCCCUUCUGACGAACCAUGAUGUCAUUAACUUGGUGUCAUGGGAAAUCAGGACUGUUACUUUGAAAAAAUUAGAGUGUUUAAAGCAGGCUAACGCUUGAAUACAUUAGCAUAGAAUAAUGAAGUAGGACGUUAAAUCCUAUUUUGUUGGUUUCUAGGAUUGACAUAAUGAUUAAUAGGGAUAGUUGGGCAUUAGUAUUCAAUUGUCAGAUGUGAAAUUCUUGGAUUUAUUGAAGACUAACUACUGCGAAAGCAUUUACCAAGGAUGUUUUCAUUAAUCAAGAACGAAAGUUAGAGGAUCAAAAAUGAUC
rnacentral:rRNA from 1 species